rnacentral:rRNA from 1 species
AACGAACGUUGGCGGCAUGCCUAACACAUGCAAGUCGAACGAGAUCUUCGGGUCUAGUGGCGCACGGGUGCGUAACGCGUGGGAAUCUGCCCUUUGAUUCGGAAUAACAGUUGGAAACGACUGCUAAUACCGGAUGAUGACGAAAGUCCAAGGAUUUAUCGCCAGAGGAUGAGCCCGCGUAGGAUUAGCUAGUUGGUGUGGUAAAGGCGCACCAAGGCGACGAUCCUUAGCUGGUCUGAGAGGAUGAUCAGCCACACUGGGACUGAGACACGGCCCAGACUCCUACGGGAGGCAGCAGUGGGGAAUAUUGGACAAUGGGCGAAAGCCUGAUCCAGCAAUGCCGCGUGAGUGAUGAAGGCCUUAGGGUUGUAAAGCUCUUUUACCCGGGAUGAUAAUGACAGUACCGGGAGAAUAAGCUCCGGCUAACUCCGUGCCAGCCGCCGCAGUAA